AUAAAAAAAAUAAUAAAAAAAAGACCACGCUGCCAGUUCAGCUAAGAUGAGCUUACCUACUUAAAAAAUAAUGAGAAAAAUAAUAAAAUUAAAAAUAAAAUUCCGUACUUUCCAUCUGUUUUCUCGGGAACCAAACAGAUAAGAAAAGUAAAGCAACUUAAAAAAUGUAAUAAAAAAUUAAUUAAAAAAGUAAAAAAGAAAACCUCACUCAUCGGCGGCGAAAAAA
rnacentral:misc_RNA from 1 species